GAGAAAACCUGCAAGGACUGCUAACCCAUGCUUUCGUAUUUAAAACUACGACUUUCUCA
ensembl:Mt_tRNA